rnacentral:sRNA from 1 species
UUCUUUUUUUGCUUAUAUUAGGUGAGUUUCCACGCUAUAUACGGACUUAUGUUUAGCUAUGAUGUUUUCUUGUAUUGUCUUGACUUUUUCAUUCAUUCU